rnacentral:misc_RNA from 1 species
AUCCAAAAGCAUCUUCAGUUACUUCUGAUUCAAGUGACAAGAAGAAGAAGCUGAAGGUGCCAAAAAUACAUGAACAAUAUGAAAAAAAUAAUAAUUCUAGUCAAUAUAACAAAAAGAAAAAGAAAACUACAUGUUGAAUAUCAAGAAAAUUACGGGAGAGAGAUGAUCAAGAAACCUCGAAACUCCACAAUUUCUUGUCUUUAUACUAAAGGAUGAGUCUUUUCAAAGAUCCUGGAAGGAACAGCAAACCUGGCAGAGAAGGAGCGAGACAUGUUAUCAGGAUCA